AUCAGGGGUAAACCUGUGGAACUCGAACGAGCGAACGGGGAGAUUCAUCGUUCUUCCUCGGGCCCGCGGUGCUGGGUUACGUUGCAGACUCGUCUGUGAUGARCCUUGUAUCGUUGCGGUUCUUGGAGUKCGUGCACUUCUCCCUUAGUAAAACACUGCGACCCGUUGAGAGGCCGGUCGAACGCAUCUUCAGUUGUCCCGUCUUCCCCGGAAGAAGGAGCUGUGGUGUCGUGGCUGGCGCUCGACGGUAACGAACGAGGUUUGCRUCCGCUUUURGCGUCCRCRRUGUGGCGGCGUCGYYCCCCUUCAGGUCUUCUGCGCGUAAGCGUCGUAAGUAUCUGUCGCGGUUGRUGGAGRCGGUUUUAAUCGUUYCCAUCGCGAGUGGCGUGUCUGCUGCUUUGCUUGGACGGGAUGCGUCCCGGUCUGCGGUGGUUUUGUUUCGGGCACUCACAGGACCC
rnacentral:rRNA from 1 species